ACGUAGGGUGCGAGCGUUAAUCGGAAUUACUGGGCGUAAAGGGUGCGCAGGCGGCUCCGCAUGUCGGGCGUGAAAUCCCCGGGCUUAACCUGGGAACUGCAUUUGUGACUGCAAGGCUAGAGUGUGUCAGAGGGAGGCGGAAUUCCGCGUGUAGCAGUGAAAUGCGUAGAGAUGCGGAGGAACACCGAUGGCGAAGGCAGCCUCCUGGGAUAACACUGACGCUCAUGCACGACAGCGUGGGGAGCAAACAGGA
rnacentral:rRNA from 1 species